CUUUGCCAAAAAAUGAGCAGACACUCUUGUGUUCCGUGAGUUGCCACAGCUCUCUCCCUGGGCUGGAAAGAAAGAAGGUUCAGAGGCCUGUGUACAGAGUUGAGACUUACGAGACUCAAGAGGUGCUCUGAAUGGGAAGUGGCCACUGGCUCAGCUCAGAAAAAGGAUGAAGCUGGCCUCUCUCCUGGUGACCCUGAUUUUCCACUCCCUACACCCUUGUCCUUACUGAGGAAGUGGAAGCUGUUCCUUCAUGGGAGCUCUCCAGGUCAUGCCUGGGGUCUGGCCUGGGGCCCUGUUUCCUUGCUGGCUGAAAGGCAGGCAUUGAACAGAGCUCAGGUCCCUGUGGCCUCUCCUGCCACCUGCUGGCCAGAAUGGAAACUACUGCCCUGGCUGGUCGGGGGCCAUCUGCCCAGCAGUGGAGUAGAAGGCGUGACCUGCAUCCUGACCAGCUGUCAGAACCAUGCAUGCUGGUCUCAUGGUAACCCACACUCCUGAGCCAGCAAGUGUGGUCACCUGGUGAGGCCACACAGUCCUGUGUCAGAGAUGCUCCUGCGGCCUGAGGGGCUCCCCUCUACCCUGAGGCAACUGGGUGCUCCUAGCCCCAGGACACCAUCCUCCCAACCCUACUCCCACCUUCUCUGCUUUUCUACCCUGGGCCAGGGUCCAGACCAGCUGGCACCUCUGCCCCUGCCCCUGUGCACAGGCCUAGCUGUUAGGUCUGCCCCUUCCACCUCUGGCCUCCUCUCCCCUUGGCUAUCUUCCCACCUUGUUCCUGACCCAGUCCCGGCCCCUCUGCUCAGCAGCUAGUGGGGCAGACUUGGGAGGCCUGCUGGAGAAAGCUGGGGGGCUGGCGCCUACCUUGCCCUCCCUGGACUCCACCUACACACCCAGGGUGCAAGAGGCCACAGCACUGAACCCCACAGUGGGAAGGGAGGCAUCACCCACACACCAGCAUGGUGCCUGUGGGAAUUGGUAACAUUGUAGUCAUUUCUGUUUUUGAAAAUUUAACACUGUGAAAAACCCCAUUUUGGAGCUGGGCUUGUGUCUCAGUGGUAGAGCGCUUGCCUGGCAUGUGUGAGGUAGUGGGUUCCAU